rnacentral:rRNA from 1 species
UGCCAGCAGCCGCGGUAAUACGGAGGGUGCAAGCGUUAUCCGGAUUUAUUGGGUUUAAAGGGUGCGCAGGCGGAUAUAUAAGUCAGUGGUGAAAUCUCUCGGCUCAACCGGGAAACUGCCAUUGAAACUGUAUAUCUUGAGUAUAGUUGUAGUAGGCGGAAUAUGUCAUGUAGCGGUGAAAUGCUUAGAUAUGACAUAGAACACCGAUCGCGAAGGCAGCUUACUAAGCUAUAACUGACGCUCAGGCACGAAAGCGUGGGGAGCAAACAGGAUUAGAUA